AAUAGCCGUCACUUUCCCGAAUCGCCCUUGGCGGAAGAGAAACGGGCCACGCACUCACGCCAGCAAUACUUCGCGGUCUUUUUUUGACGAGUGAUUUGAGUCAUCUCCUCACUCGAUGUUUUCUUUCACCAAAUCCUCCCUUUCUUCUCCAACUCUGGUGAGAUUCCGGCGAGGUUAGAGUUCGAGAUUGCUGAGGGUGGGGGCUGCUGCUCACCGCCGGCUUUAGAAGGAGGGUCGGCGGCGGUAGGCCGGCCCGGCAAGGCCAGCGAUGGUGGCGCCGCCGGCCCGGGCGGUGGAGGACAGCGGUCGGGCCGGUGUCGGGGCAGGGGCAACGGUAGCGGGAGGCGGGGGCGAGAGGGGCGACGGCCGACGCGGGCAAGACAGGGCGGCGGCCUGCGUGGGUUAGCCAGCAGCCAGGGCUGCAAUUGGAUACCAUACCUACCCAUCCUACGUUUAUUACUUCGCUUUAUUUUACACAGACACUCGACGAAAGUGCACGUUGAUAUUUUGGGGCAAGAAUUGAAUACCAUGAUAAUGUUUCCUAAUAGCUUAACUGCGCUGACUUUCUAUCCUUCUCUUGCUGGUUUCCUUUCCUUCCUGUGCUAACCCGCUCUCCCUGGGCUCUAUUUUAGUCAGCAAUUGGCAAUCAACUAAUCAUAUCAAUCCAUCAUAAUUGGGAGCAGGCUGCCACCAGCUUCCAUUUGAUCUCUCAUCUUGCGAACUAUGGCUGCAGGCAACAUCUUCUCAUGGAGGCCGGCGGCACCAUCUCUCGGAGGACGACAAGAUAACGCCGGCGGUGUAUAGCGCGCCCGCGGAGGAUGUGGAUGCUAUGGUAGCUGCGACCCCAGCCUUGGUUGAGUUCGACUACCUUUAGGGCGGCAGGUCGAGGCCACAUCAUGCGACCAGCGACGCGGGGCCAUCUACUCGGCUAGGGAGGAAGCCUAGAGCAGGGGCGCACCGCAGAGCACAAUACACCAUCCAGCAAGUAGCCAAACACCUUUACUACAAUUUUUUUUAACUGCAAGCAACAAGCUAAUAAGGUAAUUUAGCAAUUCGUAUUGCAAUUUGCUGCCCCGGCCUAAGUCGUGGGUGACGUUGUUGCCGGCAUGUAUCUCUGGUGUCAUCGGCUAGGAUCGCCUAGGACACAAGUGUUGUGCAGAGGCGGCUAUCAUGGAAGGUGAAGCAGGCUUCUGUACGUGCACGCGGCCGGACUGCUGUACACGUGGUGCAUCAUGGAUGUGAAUUGCAAGCAUUGGAAAUGAAGAGAUUGUCAAGAACCAAGAAGCUAGAAAGGAGACACUGCAAGGAAUUUGGGCAUGUUGAGUCUAGGAGUUCCGAGGAAUUUGAUAGUCAAAUUGUUUUCUCUAUGAGCCGAUUCCAACAAAAUAAGCUUGUCCAUUAGCUCUAUCAUUUUCAUAUUCUUUGAUCCUUGAGUUGCUUUGAAAUAUGUUGGAUGCUAGCAUUACAAUUUUGUUAGGAUACAACAACUUUGUAUAGUGAAACCUCUAUGAUAGCCAAUUUGUGCUAUGAUACAGCAUGCCAAAAAUGUUUCAGAGGCACAUCGUGUGUGCUUCUUGCAUGUACAGUAGAUAGUAUCCUUUUAAGAUAGUGCAAAUUUUCGUCAGCUUUCUGAAACUGAUGGAUUCUAAUAUUUUUUGGAUUGCUAGCAUAUGUAAUCCAUGAAGUGUGUGAUAAGAGGUAAAUGUAUCUUUCUUA